AUGUUGGGUCAUCUAAACUUCGGUUAUCUUAAGAAGCUGCAACCGCAAUUAUUUUCGGCUGUCGACUAUUCAGAUUUUCAUUGCGACAUAUGUGAACUGACCAAGAGCCACCGUAUUUCAUAUUCACCAAGCCUAAAUAAAAGUCAUGUUCUAUUUAUGAAGAUUCACUCUGACGUGUGGGGUCCUGCAAAAAUUCCUUCUCUCUUUGGCGCUUGGUAUUUUGUGACAUUUAUUGAUGAUUGUACCCGUACGACUUGGGUGUCUCUAUUGAAGAACAAGAGCGAUGUUUAUUCUAGAUUCAAAGAAUUUCACAAGAUGGUGUCCACACAGUAUCAACAGGUGGUUCGAGUUUUCCAGUCUGACAAUGGUGGAGAAUAUAUUAAUGGUCCUAUGCAAGCGUUUAUGCAGUUACAUGGAAUUUGACAUCAGACUUCAAAUACUUAUACUCCUCAGCAAAAUGGAUUGGUAGAGAGGAAAAAUCGACAGUUGCUUAAAGUUGUCCGUGCGUUUUUGUUCGGCAUGAAUGUACCUGUAGAAUAUUGGGGAGAAGCUGUGACAUAUGUUGCCUACCUCAUUAAUCAUACCCCUUCUCGGAGUGUUACCAAGGGUAUUCCAAAGAAACAAUAUGAACCAGACAUCAAAGCCAAAGCUAAAUAUCUUAUAGCUAAUUACAUGUCUAACCAUAGGUUGGCUGGGUCACAUGCACUUGUUAUUAAUCAAUUAUCCAUUGUUUUUAUUCCUUGUACUGUACAGGAUGCAAUGACGGAUCCCAAGUGAACUCAAGUGAUGAAUGAAGAACUAGAGGCAUUACAGAAAAACUCGACUUGGGAUAUUGGGAAGAAGACCGUUGGAUGCCGUUGAGUAUUCACAGUAAAGUUGAAAGCAGAUGGGAGCAUUGAUAGGUAUAAAGCACGGUUGGUUGCCAAGGGAUACACCCAGCGAUAUGGCGUUGAUUAUGAAGAAACCGUUUGCACCUGUAGCAAAGAUCAACACUGUUCGAAUCUUGAUUUCACUUGCAGCAACUAAAGAUUGGCCUAUACGACAGUUUGAUGUGAAGAAUGCUUUCCUCAAUGGAAACUUUGAAGAAGAGGUGUAUAUGGACAUGCCCCUAGGAGUCAAAUGUAGACCUUGCAAUGUCGGAAAGGUUUGUAAGUUAAAGAAGUCUCUGUAUGGUUUGAAGCAGUCUCCUAGAGCUUGGUUUGGAAGAUUCUCCAAAUCAAUGAAGACAUUUGGUUAUAAACAAAGCAACUCGGAUCACACUCUAUUCAUCAAGCGUAAUCAGGGUAAGAUCACCGCUCUGAUUGUGUAUGUUGAUAAUAUGAUUGUUAUAGAAGAUGAAAUAAAGGAGAUGGAGGCUUUACAAAUCUUUCAAAGGAGUUUGAGAUGAAGGACUUUGGGCAGAUGAAAUAUUUUCUCGGAAUUGAAGUUGCAAGGUCGAAGAAUGGGAUUUCUUUAUCCUAGCGCAAGUAUGUACUUGACUUGUUAGCUGAAACCGGAAUGCUUGAUUGCAAGCCUGUUGAGACACCAAUUGAGAUGAAUCAGAACCUUGCCAUCUAUCCAAAUCAAGUUUCAACUGAUAAAGUAAGGUACCAACGUCUAGUAGGGAGACUUAUUUAUUUUUCUCAUACUAGACCUGAUAUUGCUUAUGUUGUAGGUGUGGUUAGUCAAUUUAUGCAUUAUCCUAGCGAAGAGCAUAUGGAUGCAGUGUAUCGUAUUCUGAAGUAUCUUAAGAUGACACUUGGAAAAAGCUUGUUGUUUGAAAAGAAGGAUGAAUUGGAAGUUGUAGGGUACACAGAUGCUGAUUCGGCUGGUGAUAAGACUGACAGACGGUCUACAUCUGGGUAUUUUACAUAUGUUGGAGGAAACCUCGUUGCAAGAUCAGGUGCUAAAACAGAGUUUCGAGAUAUGGCACAUAGAGUUUGUGAGAUGCUAUGGAUUCGUAAUGUAUUGAAAUAAUUGGUUUUCAAACUCAACAAACCCAUGGACUUGCAUUGUGAUAGCACGUCUGCAAUUGAAAUCAUGUUCAACAUGAUUAGACCAAGCAUGUGGAGGUAGAUCGGCAUUUUAUCAAAGAAAACUUGGACAGGAAAAUAAUCUGUUUCCCUUCAUAUAUAGAACUCACCAAAUGCAGUGAUUAUGAUAAGUAUAACAAGCUUGUACGGGAAGGACAAACCCCAUUGUAUCUUGGCAGUGAGCAUACUUUGUUGGGUACCGUCAUGGAGCAAAUGCAGAUAAAAAACAAGUGGGGAAAGACUAACAUAUGUUUUGACGAGGAUAUAGCAGUUACGAAGAAAGUGCUUCCCAAAGGUAAUAGUUGUCCGGAAAAUUUCGACCAGGUUAAAAGGAUGUUGGCUGACCUCGGUCUUGAUCAUCAGAAGAUAGACGCUUGCGUCAAUAACUGCAUCUUGUAUUAUAAAGAUAACAAAGAUGAAGUUGAGUGCCCACACUGCUACGAGCCAAGACACAACUUGGACGUCAUGCACAUAGAGAAGAAUGUUUGUGAUAGCAUUCUUGGAACAAUUCUGAAUCUCAAAGAUAAGAACAAGGACACCCUCAAAGCCCGUGUUGAUCUUAUGAAAAUGGUCGUGUUAUUCAAGGGCAAAUGGUUCAAUACUGACCCAACCAGACGGAGGAGUACAAUUAUGGAUCGUGGUUUGUUAUCAGUGGACUCAAACAGUGUAUGGUAUGAGACUGAGCCGUUUAUUCUUGCCACCAUGGCGAAACAAGUGUUUUAUCUUGAUGAUCCGGCUAUGGGUGAGGGUUGGAAAGUGGUGCAGGUGAUGUCACAUAGAAAUAUUUGGUGUGCAGCUACACUGGGAGGGGAUGAUGAGAGUGGGCCCAGUGAACCAAUAACAACUGAUCAACCGAAUGAACCAUAUCAAGAGGAAUCUCCACAUGUAGUCCCUGAUACUGAGGAUAUUCGUGUCAACAACCAACACGUUGUGACUAUCAUAGGUUACAUUCCAGUUACACCAUCUGAACUGAACUCGCUACAACGUCGCAACCCCAAUCAUGAUCACGACGGCUUCAUAUAUGACGAAUACAUAGGGGAUGAUGAGUAUUCUGACCAAACUGAGGAGGAUGAUGAUUCAGACGACUCAGAUUAUCAUGACUCCGGCCCCGAAAAAGAAGCGGGGUUUUUGUUCUGGAAAGAAAGCGGAGGAUAUCGUUCAAUAAACGGGGCAGAAGAUCAAGCUGGAAGUCUGGUGGGAAUGAGGGCAAAGACAUUCUACGACCUUGAUCAGACCGAGAAGUGGAAAGUGUGGAAUGCAAUGUCGUCGAAAUACGAGUGGAAUGAAAAUGAUGAGCCAAUGUUCAAUUGGAUACUAAAGAGGGCACAGGAGAGGUACAAGGACUGGAAGUACCAGUGUUACCAAGCUUAUCUGAAGGAAGGGCCCUCUGGCAUGCCUUCAAAAUUCAUUGGGAGAGAGGACCAGUGGGAGUUUCUAUGCCAGCACUUCGAGUCAGAUGCAUUCAAGAGACUCUCCUUGGCAAACAAACGGAACCGUGGGGAGAAGACUAUGCACCACCACACGGGGUCUUCUCCUAUCAUCUACACAAUAGAGGAACUCAUAAUACAAGGCAAGCAGCUUCCAAAAAUCAAAGGUUUUGAGAAAACCUAUGUCAGGGAGGGUGAUGAAGUUACAACCAAGCAUUAUGAGCGCUAUGAGCAGAGACUAAAAGAAUCAGAGGAGCGUGCCCAGCAGCAGUUCCAAGAGGUCCAGCAACGUGCCCAACAGCAAUUUCAAGAGGUCCAACAUCGUGCCCUGCGUGCCGAGUCGAUGUAUAGUGCUAUGCAGUCCCAAGUUGCAGCCAUAUAUGAGCACGUAGGUAUGCCACCUCCACCUCCUCCACACAGCGCCAGCACCAAAAACGGCGUCAAUCUAACGUCGUCCUCGUCCGCCGUCACGACAUCGUCGGGCGGCGGCGGCGGGGCAACUACGUCGUCUUCAUCGACCCAGUCCCUCAUAAAGGCGUAUUUCAAGACCCCGGAGGGCCGGUACAAGCUCCACUCUGAGAAGACCCGGCCGGCGAAUCUCCUCCCCUAUUCCUACGCCAAGACAAUCUCCCAGGUGACGCUGGCCCAGCUCAAGGACAGGCCCAACUCCGCGGCGGUGGGGCCCGUUCCCGGAAACAUCGCCAGCGGCAGUGUGCGCCACGCGGCGGCGAGGCUGCUUGCUGGGAAUGGGAGCAAGGCGUUGAGUUAUCUGAGCGGUGGGAGUAGUAGUAGAGCGAGUAAUGGGAGUAGUAGGAGUUCUCAUUUUGGAGGACUUGGGUCUAAUGGGUAUGGGGCCCACUCGUCGCCGAGUUCCAGCCACGGCGGUAAAGGAUCGUUUUUGGUGUUCAAUGUUGGAGAUAGUAUCUACAUCUGUGAUCUCAAUUCGCCUGAUAAGGAUCCUAUUAAAAUGUUGCAUUUUAGCAAUUCAAAUCCGGUGUGUCACGCGUUUGAUUCGGAAGCCAAGGAUGGGCAUGACUUGCUUAUUGGAUUGAGCUCUGGAGAUAUUUAUUCGGCGUCUUUGAGACAGCAAUUGCAAGAUUCUGGGAAGAAGCUUGUUGGUGCCCUGCAUUAUAACAAAGAGGGUUCUGUGAAUACCAGUCGCUGUACCAGUAUUGCAUGGGUACCUAAAGGCAAUGGUACUUUUAUUGCUGCUCAUGCUGAUGGAAACUUAUACGAGUAUGAGAAGGGCAAGGAUAGUACCGCUGAUACUUCUUUCCCAGUUAUAAAGGAUCCUACUCAGUUUUCAGUGUAUCAUGCAAGAUCCAGUAAGAGUAAUCCAAUUUCCAGAUGGCAUAUUUGUGAAGGUUCAAUAAACAGCAUUGUUUACUCUCCAGAUGGGACGUAUUUGGCGACAGUUGGUAGAGACGGGUACUUACGAGUAUUUGACUACUCAAAAGAACAACUGAUAGGUGGUGGCAAGAGUUAUUAUGGUUCUCUUCUGUGUUGUGCUUGGAGUCCGGAUGGAAAAUAUGUUUUAACCGGAGGGGAAGAUGAUCUUGUUACAGUAUGGAGUAUGGAAGAUAGGAAGGUGGUAGCUUGGGGUGAAGGACAUAACUCAUGGGUUAGUGGUGUGGCUUUUGACUUGCAUUGGUCAUCACCAACUUCAGAUGGCACAGAAGAAAAUCUUGUUUAUCGUUUUGGCUCUGUUGGUCAGGACACGAAGUUGCUUCUCUGGGACCUCUCCAUGGAUGAGAUCGUAGUGCCGCUUCGCCGGUGUUCAGUUGGUGGGUCGCCAACAUUCAGCACUGGUAGCCAGUCAUCCCAUUGGGACAGCAGUUACCCGGUUGGCACUCUCCAACCUGCUCCAAGCAUGCGGGAUGUUCCCAAGCUCUCCCCACUAGUGGCUCACUGUGUUCAUACCGAGCCCUUGUCUAGCUUAGCUUUUACCCAGGAAGCUAUUCUUACUGCAUCUUGGGAAGGGCAUGUAAAAAUUUGGAUGAGACCAGGCGAACCCGAAAGUAAAUCCAACAACUCAGAAGCUCUGCCAGGUGCUAGUUCUAGGGAGCAACUAGCACCGACAGGAAAAGGUUACUCAGAAUCAUUGAGGGGUUACCCCUUGCCUGAAAGUAAGUCAAACAACUCACAAGCUCUUCUAGGUGCUUCUUCAAAGGAGCAACAGCCAUCGACAGCAUAUUCCUGUGUUGAGGCCAUGGCUGUGGCAAUGAGAGGAGUUGAGUUUAAGCUAGUGGUGCUUUUGGUGGUGGGAGUCUUGGCAACGGCGUCGUAUUGCACGACGGUUAGUUACGACCACAGGGCGCUUGUGAUCGAUGGAAAGCGCAGAGUGUUAGUCUCUGGCUCGAUUCACUACCCUCGUAGCACUCCAGAGAUGUGGCCGGACCUUAUUCAGAAAUCCAAGGACGGAGGGUUGGAUGUGAUCGAGACCUAUGUGUUUUGGAACUUACAUGAGCCAGUUCGAGGCCAGUACAACUUUGAGGGAAGGAACGAUUUGGUUGGAUUUGUGAAGGCAGUGGCAGAAGCAGGGCUCUAUGUGCAUCUUCGAAUUGGGCCUUAUGUGUGCGCAGAAUGGAAUUACGGUGGCUUUCCUCUGUGGCUGCACUUCAUACCCGGAAUAAAGUUGCGGACUGAUAAUGAGCCCUACAAGGCAGAAAUGCAGCGGUUCACGGCCAAAAUCGUUGAAAUGAUGAAGAAUGAGAAGCUUUAUGCAUCUCAGGGAGGACCUAUCAUUCUAUCUCAGAUCGAAAACGAGUAUGGAAACAUUGAUAAAGCAUAUGGGCCUGCUGCCAAAACCUACAUUAAUUGGGCAGCAAACAUGGCUGUGUCUUUGGAUACAGGGGUGCCCUGGGUCAUGUGCCAGCAAGCAGAUGCUCCUUCUUCAGUGAUCAACACUUGCAAUGGAUUUUACUGCGAUCAAUUUUCCCCUAAUUCUAACAGUACACCCAAAAUUUGGACUGAGAAUUGGAGUGGAUGGUUUCUUUCCUUUGGUGGUGCUGUACCUCAGAGACUGGUGGAAGACCUUGCAUUUGCUGUAGCACGCUUCUACCAGCGAGGUGGAACUUUCCAAAAUUAUUAUAUGUACCAUGGUGGAACCAACUUUGGGCGGUCUAGUGGAGGACCUUUUAUUGCUACAAGUUAUGACUAUGAUGCUCCACUUGAUGAGUAUGGACUUCUUAGGCAGCCGAAAUGGGGUCAUCUAAAAGAUGUGCAUAAGGCUAUAAAGCUUUGUGAACCUGCAAUGGUGGCCACUGAUCCAACAAUUUCUUCUCUCGGUCAAAACAUUGAGGCAGCUGUUUACAAGACAGGAUCAGUAUGUUCUGCAUUUCUUGCCAAUGUCGACACCAAAUCUGAUGCCACUGUGACUUUCAAUGGCAAUUCAUAUCAAUUGCCUGCAUGGUCUGUGAGCAUCUUACCUGACUGCAAAAAUGUAGUGAUUAACACUGCAAAGAUUAACACUGCCACUAUGGUUCCAAGCUUCACACGUCAAUCAAUUUCAGCUGAUGUUGAGCCCACUGAAGCUGUCGGCUCAGGCUGGAGUUGGAUAAAUGAACCAGUGGGUAUCUCAAAGGGUGAUGCAUUUACCAGAGUGGGAUUAUUGGAGCAGAUAAACACUACAGCUGAUAAAAGUGACUAUUUGUGGUACUCUACCAGCAUUGAUGUGAAAGGUGGAUAUAAAGCUGAUCUUCAUGUGCAAUCGCUUGGUCAUGCUCUUCAUGCUUUUGUCAAUGGAAAGCUUGCAGGGAGUGAAACAGGCAACAGUGGCAAUGCCAAGGUUUCUGUGGAGAUCCCUGUCGAAUUUGCAUCUGGCAAGAACACAAUUGAUCUUUUGAGUCUGACCGUUGGGCUUCAGAAUUAUGGAGCUUUCUUUGACUUAGUGGGUGCUGGGAUCACCGGUCCUGUACAACUGAAAGGCUCAGCAAAUGGCACCACUAUUGAUCUCUCUUCUCAGCAAUGGACAUAUCAGAUUGGACUUAAAGGUGAAGACGAAGAUCUUCCGAGUGGGAGUUCUCAAUGGAUCUCACAACCUACCUUGCCCAAGAAUCAGCCCUUGACGUGGUACAAGACCCAAUUUGAUGCCCCUGGUGGCAGUAACCCUGUUGCACUAGACUUCACAGGAAUGGGGAAGGGUGAGGCAUGGGUGAAUGGACAAAGCAUUGGACGUUACUGGCCCACUAAUGUUGCUCCGAAAACUGGUUGCACUGAUUGCAACUACAGAGGAGCUUAUAGUGCAGACAAAUGCCGAAAGAACUGUGGCAUGCCAUCUCAGAAAUUAUACCACGUUCCUCGUUCAUGGAUGAAAUCCAGUGGCAAUACUCUUGUAUUAUUUGAGGAAGUUGGGGGUGAUCCGACACAGUUAUCUUUUGCCACAAGACAGGUAGAAAGUUUGUGCUCUCAUGUAUCAGAGUCUCACCCAUCACCUGUAGAUAUGUGGAGCUCAGAUUCCAAAGCAGGAAGCAAGUCACGGCCUAGGCUAUCACUUGAGUGCCCAUUUCCUAAUCAAGUCAUUUCUUCAAUCAAGUUUGCAAGUUACGGAAGGCCUAGUGGGACUUGCGGGAGCUUUAGCCAUGGCUUGUGUAGGAGCAGUAGGGCUCUAUCCAUUGUACAGAAGGCAUGCGUUGGAUCAAAGAGUUGUAGCAUCGAAGUCUCAACUAAUACAUUUGGUGACCCAUGUAAAGGACUAGCAAAGAGUUUAGCAGUAGAAGCUUCUUGUAAAUAGACAGUGGGAGAUAAGGAAGACGUUAUCCCCAAGUAUGUCUAGCUCUCAUUGAAUAAACUUAUUCUCAUGAAUGAAAUUAAUAUCAAUAAUAUUCUCAA